CACCGCGGUUAUACGAGAGGCCCUAGUUGAUAAAUACGGCGUAAAGAGUGGUUAUGGAAUUAUUUUUAUUAAAGCCGAAAGCCCCUUAGACUGUCAUACGCACCCAGAGGCUAGAACCCCACUAAACGAAAGUAGCUUUAUUAAUGCCCACCAGAACCCACGACAGCUGGGACA
rnacentral:rRNA from 1 species